UACGAAGGGGGCUAGCGUUGUUCGGAAUUACUGGGCGUAAAGCGCACGUAGGCGGGUCGUUUAAGUCAGGGGUGAAAUCCCGGAGCUCAACUCCGGAACUGCCUUUGAUACUGGCGAUCUUGAGAUCGGAAGAGGUGAGUGGAAUUCCCAGUGUAGAGGUGAAAUUCGUAGAUAUUGGGAAGAACACCAGUGGGCGAAGGCGGCUCACUGGUCCGAUACUGACGCUGAGGUGCGAAAGCGUGGGGAGCAACA
rnacentral:rRNA from 1 species